rnacentral:rRNA from 1 species
CGGAGGAACAUGUGGUUUAAUUCGAUGAUACGCGAGGAACCUUACCCGGGCUUAAAUUGCAGAGGACAGGCGCAGAGAUGUGCUCUUCUUCGGACCUCUGUGAAGGUACUGCAUGGUUGUCGUCAGCUCGUGCCGUGAGGUGUCGGCUUAAGUGCCAUAACGAGCGCAACCCUUGCCGGUAGUCACCAUCAGGUUAUGCUGGGGACUCUAUUGGGACUGCCAUCGUAAGAUGUGAGGAAGGUGGGGAUGACGUCAAAUCAGCACGGCCCUUACGUCCGGGGCUACACACGUGUUACAAUGGGAGGUACAGAAGGCCGUUACCCGGCGACGGGAUGCCAAUCCCCAAAACCCCUCUCAGUUCGGAUUGGAGUCUGCAACCCGACUCCACGAAGCUGGAUUCGCUAGUAAUCGCGCAUCAGCCAUGGCGCG